rnacentral:rRNA from 1 species
UUAAGCGACUAAGCGUACACGGUGGAUGCCUAGGCAGUCAGAGGCGAUGAAGGGCGUGCUAAUCUGCGAAAAGCGUCGGUAAGGUGAUAUGAACCGUUACAACCGACGAUACCCGAAUGGGGAAACCCAGUGCAAUUCGUUGCACUAUUGCAUGGUGAAUACAUAGCCAUGCAAGGCGAACCGGGGGAACUGAAACAUCUAAGUACCCCGAGGAAAAGAAAUCAACCGAGAUUCCCCCAGUAGCGGCGAGCGAACGGGGAACAGCCCAGAACCUGAAUCAGCAUAUGUGUUAGUGGAAGCGUCUGGAAAGUCGCACGGUACAGGGUGAUAGUCCCGUACACAAAAAUGCAUAUGUUGUGAGUUCGAUGAGUAGGGCGGGACACGUGACAUCCUGUCUGAAUAUGGGGGGACCAUCCUCCAAGGCUAAAUACUCCUGACUGACCGAUAGUGAACCAGUACCGUGAGGGAAAGGCGAAAAGAACCCCGGCGAGGGGAGUGAAAUAGAACCUGAAACCGUGUACGUACAAGCAGUGGGAGCACCUUCGUGGUGUGACUGCGUACCUUUUGUAUAAUGGGUCAGCGACUUAUAUUUUGUAGCAAGGUUAACCGAAUAGGGGAGCCGUAGGGAAACCGAGUCUUAACUGGGCGAAUAGUUGCAAGGUAUAGACCCGAAACCCGGUGAUCUAGCCAUGGGCAGGUUGAAGGUUGGGUAACACUAACUGGAGGACCGAACCGACUAAUGUUGAAAAAUUAGCGGAUGACUUGUGGCUGGGGGUGAAAGGCCAAUCAAACCGGGAGAUAGCUGGUUCUCCCCGAAAGCUAUUUAGGUAGCGCCUCGUGAACUCAUCUUCGGGGGUAGAGCACUGUUUCGGCUAGGGGGUCAUCCCGACUUACCAAACCGAUGCAAACUCCGAAUACCGAAGAAUGUUAUCACGGGAGACACACGGCGGGUGCUAACGUCCGUCGUGAAGAGGGAAACAACCCAGACCGCCAGCUAAGGUCCCAAAGUCAUGGUUAAGUGGGAAACGAUGUGGGAAGGCAUAGACAGCCAGGAUGUUGGCUUAGAAGCAGCCAUCAUUUAAAGAAAGCGUAAUAGCUCACUGGUCGAGUCGGCCUGCGCGGAAGAUGUAACGGGGCUAAACCAUGCACCGAAGCUGCGGCAGCGACGCUUAGGCGUUGUUGGGUAGGGGAGCGUUCUGUAAGCCGUUGAAGGUGACCUGUGAGGGUUGCUGGAGGUAUCAGAAGUGCGAAUGCUGACAUAAGUAACGAUAAUGCGGGUGAAAAACCCCCACGCCGGAAGACCAAGGGUUCCUGUCCAACGUUAAUCGGGGCAGGGUGAGUCGACCCCUAAGGCGAGGCUGAAAAGCGUAGUCGAUGGGAAACAGGUUAAUAUUCCUGUACUUGGUGUUACUGCGAAGGGGGGACGGAGAAGGCUAGGCUAGCCGGGCGACGGUUGUCCCGGUUUAAGCAUGUAGGCGGAGCGACUUGGUAAAUCCGGUUGCUUAUCAACGCUGAGGUGUGAUGACGAGUCACUACGGUGAUGAAGUAGUUGAUGCCAAGCUUCCAGGAAAAGCCUCUAAGCAUCAGGUAACAUUAAAUCGUACCCCAAACCGACACAGGUGGUCAGGUAGAGAAUACUCAGGCGCUUGAGAGAACUCGGGUGAAGGAACUAGGCAAAAUGGUGCCGUAACUUCGGGAGAAGGCACGCUGGCAUUAGGUAAAGAGACUUGCUCUCGGCGCCGAAGCCAGUCGCAGAUACCAGCUGGCUGCAACUGUUUAAUAAAAACACAGCACUGUGCAAACACGAAAGUGGACGUAUACGGUGUGACGCCUGCCCGGUGCUGGAAGGUUAAUUGAUGGGGUCAGCCGCAAGGCGAAGCUCUUGAUCGAAGCCCCAGUAAACGGCGGCCGUAACUAUAACGGUCCUAAGGUAGCGAAAUUCCUUGUCGGGUAAGUUCCGACCUGCACGAAUGGCGUAAUGAUGGCCAGGCUGUCUCCACCCGAGACUCAGUGAAAUUGAACUCGCUGUGAAGAUGCAGUGUACCCGCGGCAAGACGGAAAGACCCCGUGAACCUUUACUAUAGCUUGACACUGAACAUUGAGCCUUGAUGUGUAGGAUAGGUGGGAGGCAUUGAAGUGUGGACGCCAGUCUGCAUGGAGCCAACCUUGAAAUACCACCCUUUAAUGUUUGAUGUUCUAACUCGGCCCCGUAAUCCGGGGUGAGGACAGUGUCUGGUGGGUAGUUUGACUGGGGCGGUCUCCUCCCAAAGAGUAACGGAGGAGCACGAAGGUUAGCUAAUCACGGUCGGACAUCGUGAGGUUAGUGCAAAGGCAUAAGCUAGCUUGACUGCGAGAGUGACGGCUCGAGCAGGUACGAAAGUAGGUCUUAGUGAUCCGGUGGUUCUGAAUGGAAGGGCCAUCGCUCAACGGAUAAAAGGUACUCCGGGGAUAACAGGCUGAUACCGCCCAAGAGUUCAUAUCGACGGCGGUGUUUGGCACCUCGAUGUCGGCUCAUCACAUCCUGGGGCUGAAGUAGGUCCCAAGGGUAUGGCUGUUCGCCAUUUAAAGUGGUACGCGAGCUGGGUUUAGAACGUCGUGAGACAGUUCGGUCCCUAUCUGCCGUGGGCGUUGGAAGAUUGAGAGGGGCUGCUCCUAGUACGAGAGGACCGGAGUGGACGAAUCACUGGUGUUCGGGUUGUCAUGCCAAUGGCAUUGCCCGGUAGCUAAAUUCGGAAGAGAUAACCGCUGAAAGCAUCUAAGCGGGAAACUUGCCUCGAGAUGAGUCUUCCCUGGGGCUUUAAGCCCCCUGAAGGAACGUUAAAGACUAUGACGUUGAUAGGCUGGGUGUGUAAGUGCAGCGAUGCAUUGAGCUAACCAGUACUAAUGAUCCGUGAGGCUUAACCUU